rnacentral:rRNA from 1 species
AGAGUUUGAUCMUGGCUCAGGACGAACGCUGGCGGCGUGCUUAACACAUGCAAGUCGAACGAUGAAGCCCAGCUUGCUGGGUGGAAGAGUGGCGAACGGGUGAGUAACACGUGAGUAACCUGCCCAUCACUCUGGGAUAAGCGCUGGAAACGGCGUCUAAUACUGGAUAUGAACAGCGACCGCAUGGUCAGUUGUUGGAAAGAUUUAUUGGUGAUGGAUGGACUCGCGGCCUAUCAGCUAGUUGGUGAGGUAAUGGCUCACCAAGGCGACGACGGGUAGCCGGCCUGAGAGGGUGACCGGCCACACUGGGACUGAGACACGGCCCAGACUCCUACGGGAGGCAGCAGUGGGGAAUAUUGCACAAUGGGCGCAAGCCUGAUGCAGCAACGCCGCGUGAGGGAUGACGGCCUUCGGGUUGUAAACCUCUUUUAGUAGGGAAGAAGCGCAAGUGACGGUACCUGCAGAAAAAGCACCGGCUAACUACGUGCCAGCAGCCGCGGUAAUACGUAGGGUGCAAGCGUUGUCCGGAAUUAUUGGGCGUAAAGAGCUCGUAGGCGGCUUGUCGCGUCUGCUGUGAAAACCCGAGGCUCAACCUCGGGCUUGCAGUGGGUACGGGCAGGCUAGAGUGCGGUAGGGGAGAUUGGAAUUCCUGGUGUAGCGGUGGAAUGCGCAGAUAUCAGGAGGAACACCAAUGGCGAAGGCAGAUCUCUGGGCCGUAACUGACGCUGAGGAGCGAAAGCAUGGGGAGCGAACAGGAUUAGAUACCCUGGUAGUCC